rnacentral:rRNA from 1 species
UACGGAGGGUGCAAGCGUUAUCCGGAUUCACUGGGUUUAAAGGGUGCGUAGGUGGGAAUGUAAGUCAGUGGUGAAAUCUCCGUGCUUAACUUGGAAACUGCCGUGGAUACUAUUAGUCUUGAAUAUUGUGGAGGUAAGCGGAAUAUGUCAUGUAGCGGUGAAAUGCUUAGAUAUGACAUAGAACACAAUUGCGAAGGCAGCUGGCUACACGAAUAUUGACACUGAUGCACGAAAGCGUGGGGAUCAAACAGG